CAUCCUUGCUGCUGUGUCUGCGACAAACAUAUCAUAGGAACCUCUAUAAAAUGAAAGAUAAAGUUCAUGUGGAGCUAGCAAGAGAGAUCAGCGCCAGCCUAUACCAGUAUACCAAUAAGGGAGCACAGAGGACAAGGUACGUGUAGCCAUAACAGGUGUAUUUUUGUACCUAUUUUCAUAAAUUCCUAGCGUUCAUACAAAGUUUAGUUUUAAUUCCACACUUCCUACUAUUGGGUUGCUCGCCGCUGGAAUUUUCGUUAGCCACCUAUGAAAACACAUCAUGGAAAGUUUCGGAGAGCUCUCAUACCUGCACCUUAGAGAUAAAUGGAUGAUAAGGCAACUCCCUGCCAGACAUGGGUAACCGAGCUCCACCGGUCGACAGCGAUGGUGGUAGGAGCAUAAAAAAGGAGCACCAGGAUGAGUAGGGAGGCCAGAUGACAAAAUUGACCAUAAGUUAUGUGAAGACUCUAGCACAAAUCAUAGAUCAGCUUGGAUUGGAGGAACCAAAAAUAGCAUAUGAGAAGGGAGAGAGCGGAAUGUUCCAUGCUACCAUAGAAGUGGACCUUUUGAACUGGGUAUCCAUGGGAUACAGAGGCCAACGAGAAUUCACAGGCAAGUCAUCAGUUUCCGCAAGAAGAGCUGUUGAGAAGGCCGCUCGUAAAGUUGUCAAUACUUUGGAGAAAUAUGGUCUCGUCAAGAUCAAUGAUUUCAGGAGGAAACAACUGAAGCUGUGGAAGAAAAGAGUCAUGAAUAUUGCUAAGGUAUGCAAGGAACUCAUCGAAGAAAGAGACGUACUUGAGAGGAACAACGCGUACCUACAAAACAAGCACAAUAAAUUACUUGCAGAGAAUGCUAGGAUGGAAGAAGAAAUAUCGAGGCUGGAGGAAAAGAUAGUUGGGCGCACAGAAGGUGAAAAGGAAGAUAAGGAGCCCACUAGCAAGAACAACCACUUGGAUGGAGAUAACACUACAAUGGAGGAAUUCAUGGAAGUUAAGUGGGAAGGCACAUAAUAUAAAUUGCUGUGGUACUGGGUUUCCAUCUGUGCAAGUACUGGUCAAUGUGUUAUAUAUAGUAAUUAUGUGUCCUAGGAAGGUACCUGCAGCUCAACUAAUGGUGCUGAUAGUAGUAAUGGUUUCAAGUACCUAUUAUAUAUUAGUGUUGCAUCUUAAAAAAGAGGACUGGUUGUACGUCUUGGUGUUGUCUUUUCGCUAUAGAAUGCAUGGUACUUGGAGGCA